GGAACGGGUGAAAAAAACAGGGGAACGUGCCCAGUAAUGGGGGAUAACCCACGGAGAGGUAGCAUAACCCCCACUCGGAUUUGCGGAUGAACUCGGGGGAGGCUCCAUUACACAUUUUGGCCAGAGUACAGUCGAAGGCGAUCCACGAGUUGGCGUGCUCCACCUAGCGUUAUUGGACCGACGGAUGAUUGAUUACAUAGCGGGUAAGUUGAUGGAUGACCAAGGUGACGAUCUNUAGAUGGUGUAAGAGGACGGCCAGCCACACUGGAACUGAGACACGGUCCAGAGUCUUACGGGAGGCAUCAGUGGGGAAUUUCGCCCAAUGGGGGAAACCCUGACGCAGUAACGCCGCGUGGAGGAUGAAGCCCUUUGGGGCGUAAAUCUCCUUUCGACCAAGACGAUAAUGAUCGGUAUUGGUGGAAGAAGCCCCGCCUCACUCUGUGCCCCCAC
rnacentral:rRNA from 1 species